rnacentral:rRNA from 1 species
AACGAACGCUGGCGGCAUGCCUAACACAUGCAAGUCGAACGAAGCCUUCGGGCUUAGUGGCGCACGGGUGCGUAACGCGUGGGAAUCUGCCCUUGGGUUCGGAAUAACAGUUAGAAAUGACUGCUAAUACCGAAUGAUGUCUUCGGACCAAAGAUUUAUCGCCCAAGGAUGAGCCCGCGUCGGAUUAGCUAGUUGGUGAGGUAAAGGCUCACCAAGGCGACGAUCCGUAGCUGGUCUGAGAGGAUGAUCAGCCACACUGGAACUGAGACACGGUCCAGACUCCUACGGGAGGCAGCAGUGGGGAAUAUUGGACAAUGGGCGAAAGCCUGAUCCAGCCAUGCCGCGUGUGUGAAGAAGG